rnacentral:lncRNA from 1 species
UCAAGACCGUCUCUGCAAAUGAAGCUGUGAACUCCAUGGCUGAGCUGUGUAUCUUGGAAUAGGGCCCAUGUUUAGAUGGAGAGUCAGAUGAUGUAACUCUUUUACGGAACGGAUUCCCUGUAACAACACUAUUCUCUGAUCCAAACAUGUUGGAAUCAUGAAGAGGAUGAUCACUGGAUGAACUGUGACCUUGUUAACAUAUUAGAGAAGUGGAUAGAAUCCAAGGCUCAGACACAUGCAUUCCAGGCAGUCAGGCUGAAGAAGGACAGCUUUGGAGCUGAAGAGGUGGAAGAAAGAUUGCCUGGAGCCACGAGUAAAGAUGUGCAUCUAUCAAGGCCAUGA